GACGAACGCUGGCGGCGUGCCUAAUACAUGCAAGUCGAGCGGACGGAUGGGAGCUUGCUCCCAGACCGUCAGCGGCGGACGGGUGAGUAACACGUGGGCAACCUGCCUGUAAAACUGGGAUAACUCCGGGAAACCGGGGCUAAUACCGGAUAACUCUUUCCCUCACAUGAGGGAAAGCUGAAAGAUGGCAUCUCGCUAUCACUUACAGAUGGGCCCGCGGCGCAUUAGCUAGUUGGUGAGGUAACGGCUCACCAAGGCGACGAUGCGUAGCCGACCUGAGAGGGUGAUCGGCCACACUGGGACUGAGGCACGGCCCAGACUCCUACGGGAGGCAGCAGUAGGGAAUCUUCCGCAAUGGACGAAAGUCUGACGGAGCAACGCCGCGUGAGUGAUGAAGGUUUUCGGAUCGUAAAACUCUGUUGUCAGGGAAGAACAAGUACCGGAGUAACUGCCGGUACCUUGACGGUACCUGACCAGAAAGCCACGGCUAACUACGUG
rnacentral:rRNA from 1 species